rnacentral:misc_RNA from 2 species
UCACCCCUCAAGCCCCUGGCUUGGUGUUGGACGGUUUGGUGGAGGCCCCCUCGGGGGCUCCUGCCCCUCCCAAAGACAAUGACGGCGGCCUCGUUGGACCCCCGGUACACUGAGUUCUUCACGGGACACGUAUCGGAUACAUGGGUUUACGGGACACGGUCUGCCUCCCCUCAGGGAGAAUCUUUCUAA